UACGUAGGGUGUAAGCGUUGUCCGGAAUUAUUGGGCGUAAAGAGCGUGUAGGCGGCCCGACCAGUCCGCUGUGAAAGUCCAGGGCUCAACCCUGGAAUGCCGGUGGAUACUGUCGGGCUAGAGUCCGGAAGGGGCGAGUGGAAUUCCUGGUGUAGCGGUGAAAUGCGCAGAUAUCAGGAGGAACACCAAUGGCGAAGGCAGCUCGCUGGGACGUGACUAACGCUGAGACGCGAAAGCGUGGGGAGCAAACAGG
rnacentral:rRNA from 1 species